rnacentral:rRNA from 1 species
ACCGGGAUGGACGUACCGCUGGUGCACCAGUUGUUCCGCCAGGAGCAUGGCUGGGUAGCUACGUACGGACGGGAUAAGCGCUGAAAGCAUCUAAGCGUGAAGCCCCCCUCAAGAUGAGAUUUCCCAGCAUGUAAGACCCCUUGAAGACGACGAGGUAGAUAGGUUGGAGGUGGAAGCACGGCAACGUGUGGAGCUGACCAAUACUAAUCGGUCGAGGGCUUAUCCAAAA